AGUGCAGGCAAGGUCAACCAGAAGUCUCUAUCAUUUCGGAGAUGCCAAUACUGUGGGAUGACCACCAAGUACAGCAGCAGCAGAAGUUGUGUGACAGAAUCUGUGAAAGUGAAGCCUGGGUCACCUUGGAGACCUCAAGUUGUUAGAGACCCCAGAGCAAUGGGACACCUGCCAAGGAAAGCUGCUAAUAGGGAAUGGAUCCAGCCCAACAGAAAAGAAUUGUGUUGCAGUCAACAAAGUGGAAGAUAGUUGGAAAUCUGAAGCGCACUUUGACAUCAGCCAUGUAGACACAGAAUUUGAAUUCUCCCAGCUGGUUUUUAGCCUUGCGUUGAAAUUGUCUUUUACCAGAUGACAAGUCCGUUAUGCAGCUUCACCUGCACUGUGCCAUCCAACAGUCUAUCUGUGAGGCUUAAUGAAGACAAGAAGAUAGAUAUUCUAUAAAGGGUGAUUAUGAGGAUGCACUGACUCUUUCCAUCAAAUAUCUUCUAGUUUCAAAGUAUCAAGUAUUCACACAUCUUUUAAAGCUUUAGGAACUGGAAUUCACAGAGAAAAUAUGAACUGACAUUUAAAUAAAUGAGCAUUCAUCUCCUGUAUGGAAGAUAAACUUCAGAA